CCCUUAGAUGUUCUGGGCCGCACGCGUGCUACACUGAGUAAUUGAAUGGGUAAGGGAACGCUAGAGCAUUACCUAAUCUUGAAAUUUGCUCGUGAUGGGGAUCGACGGUUGCAAUUUUCCGUCGUGAACGAGGAAUACCUUGUAGGCGCAUGUCAUCAUCAUGCGCCGAAUACGUCCCUGCCCUUUGUACACACCGCCCGUCGCUCCUACCGAUUGAGUGAUCCGGUGAGGCUCUGGGACCUGGACGGAAAGAGCGUUUCGCUUGUUCUGUUUGGGAAACUUGGUCGAACCUUAUCAUUUAGAGGAAGGAGAAGUCGUAACA
rnacentral:rRNA from 1 species